GUGGCAGAUGUUAGCUCAGGGCCAAUCUUCCUCAAAUAAAAUAAGAGUAAGUACUCAGUGGUGUUUUAGUGUAUUGACAAUCUUGUGCAACCAUCACUACUAUUGAGUUCCAGAAUAUUUUCAUCAUCCCAAAAGAAAACCCCAUACCUAUUUAACAGCCACUCCUCAUUCUCCCCUACCCCCAAACUCUGGCAAUCACUAAUCUGAUUUCUGUCUCCAUGUAUUUGCCUGUUAGGGAUAUUUCAUAUGGAUGGAAUCAUACAAUAUGUGGCCUUUUGUGUCUGACUUCUUUCAGUCAACAUAAUGUUUUCAAGUUUCAUCCAUGUUAUAGCAUAAAUCUGUACUUUAUUCCUUUUUUAUGGUGGAACAGUAUUCCGUUUUAUGAAUAUUGAACAUACUGUUAUUUUGGCCAGAAUGAUUUUCAUCUUUCUCUUCCCCUGGUUGUCUCCUGUGCAGCCUUCAGCAGUCAGCUCAGUGAUCACUUCCUCAGAGAAUUUCCCCAAGGCUCCAUCCUAGACGAGGUCACAUGCAUUUUCAGGCUCAGCUUUCUCUUCUGCACAGCUCUUACCUCCGUCUGUAAUUAAACACUCACUGAGGGGCUAUUUCACUAACGGCUGUCCCUGAACUAGAACCUAAGAUCCACGGGACAAGGGAUCAUAUCUGUGUUAGUUCCAUACCGGAUCUCUAGUGCCUAUCACAGGGUCUGGUGUAUAAAUAAACUUUUGUGAAAUAAAUGUUGUGAAAUUAUUUCCCACUAAAAAGGGAAUAAUUGGCAAUUGCUUAAUGUUCUUUCGUGCCCAAUGGCAUUUUGAAUCUGAAGAGAAUAGCGCUGUCAUGGAGAAUUCCACAGAGGAAUUUCCCUGGCAGAGAGCAAGGGGCAGAGUUUUUCUGGGGGAGGGACUCCUUCCGGCUCCUUUAAUUGCAACACCCAGUGCCUCCUCCACCUGUAAGUCCAGCUGUCUGAGCCACCAUUCCACUCACUCUAAGUUCGUCCUGCUUCCAUUUCAUCUAAAACACAGGCGUAUUUCAUUCCAUUACCGUCCCUAUCUCAUCACUAGCAAAGCAGUGAUCUGCUAUAAGUAAUUAUCUCUCAUCCAUCUUUCCUUUCCAAUCUGAGUUCCUCUACAACAGAAGCCUAAUUGGAAUUUGAUGGGUUUCUGUGACGUCUGCAACUGAAGGAUGCUUUUCUCUGUAAAUGGGAUCGUAAUUAUGGGUUGGAACGUAACCUUCAUUAACUCAACGGCACUGUCUCUCCCCAAUCUUUCCCUGAUAUUUGGAAUGGGCUUAAAAGCAGUAUUUCCUCGUUCAUGCCCUUCCUUUACCUCAUACAGAAACACUAUUCUUUGGGCAAGUGUUGGCAGCCUACACAACGCUGUCCUGUCUCUGAGUAAUUACAGCUGGAAAAGUGCCAGUCAUUGUCUUCUUAAAGUGAUGGCAAAUUCUUCCCUAGUAUUUACAGACAGAUGACAAUUAAAUUGAGGCCCUGAUACAGUAAAAGUACAAUUUAACAAAUUUACUUGAUGGCAGCAUUUUUAUUUAAUUUUUAUAUAAUUACUUAUGAGAAAAAUUUCCUCCAGAAUGGUAGUUUUAUGCUAGAAAUGAGCUGAAGUUUUUCUCAAUGAGGCAUCAGAUUAAGAGACAAUUGUGCCAAAUAAUCCAUAUCAUUUGCAUGUAGAGUCACUAUUGUUUUACUUUUUGUUUGUUAUCUGAUUUAUUAUGUCGACACAAUGAAAACUGGACUUUUUGUUGUCCCAGAUACAACUAAAACUAUCAAAUGGUUCUUUUCUGCCCUUAGUGAGGGUAGAAGGCUAGAUCUGAAUAAAGUUAACAUCCGCCUUCUGAAGGUUGAGCUGUGAACAUACACGGCUAAACACAAAUGUAUUUCAAGGAAGCCAAAAAAUGUCAAAAUGAGUCCCUGGCCUCAAGGCUUGCCAACGGUCUAAUUAAUUGUGUUAAUGUAGCGAAUUAAAGAAGAAUUAUUUAGCCUUAGAAGCAUUGGGAAAAGGAGAGCACCAGAGGUAAAUAUCAGCAAUUUAGAUCUAAAUAUUCAAGACUGACUGACAUCUUGGUCUGGUAAUCAAGACCAAUUGAUUACUUGGCCCAAGUAAUUAAUUCCCAAUUGUGUGGAUGGCUAUGAGAGUCCGAUAUGGUAUAUUUUUGAAUAAUAUACAAACUCUUGCUUAUUCUGAUCAUAAGUUAGCAUCUCAUAAAUCUUGUUUAUGGGAAGAGAUUGUGUUGGUCAGGUUAAUGUGAUUGUCCAUUCUACCUUGGUGUUACAUUUCUCAUCUUAUAAAUUUAAAGAUUGUUUUGAUUUUAUACACAUUUUUGUGCUGUUUGAGAGAGUGAGAAUGAUAUAUUCUAUCUGGAAUAACCGUGGAAUAUAGACCAGAUUACAGUUUUGAGCUUCCAAGAUUGAGAGCCAGGCCCUCAGCAGCAGUGAAUUCACAAGGCAGAAGCCAGCCCAGGGACACCUUGCUGCUCAUGACAGUAGCCAGCUCGCUCUCCCAACACAGAACCCCUCUCUCUUGCUGUUAGUCCUCUUUAAACGUAUAUCUUCUUCCCUCUUAGGUUUUUCUAAGAAGAUGGAGAGACCUAAGUGGAAAAAAGUCUUCAGAGUUACAGGAUUCCAAGUUGGAAUAUUUUUCCUGUCAGUGUUAAGUGACGUUAAGCAAAUGGCAAUUUUUCUUAAUUUCAAUUUCCUCAUAUAUUUAAACUGGAAAAGCUAUGUUUUGGUUUCUUUUGAAUAUUAAAUUAAAACUGUUUUUCAAGUGCCCAGCUAAUGUGGCACUGACAUAUAGUAGCCCUGAAUAAUUCAUCUGACUGGGUUUCAGCUUAUUCUUAAAAAAAGUUGACAAUGACAUCCAGUCCUUUGGUUUGGAAAGAUAUGAUUAUAGAACUGCAUUCAUGGAGACCAGCUGAUUUUUUUUCCUGGAAAAAGGCUACCAGUGGGCACAUAUAUUUGGUUACUGGAUAGCCCCUCAUGUCUAAAUUUAGAAAAGUAGGGGCUUUUUCGUAUCUAUGGCACUACAGCCUAGAUGAGCAGAGAAACAACCUCAGAGCAUGGGCCUGCGCCAGGAAUCUCUGAGACUUGGAGCAUGUGGGAAAAAAUACAGAAAAACAAGGACAAUCACACGCCCACAUUUAAUUCCAGAAUAUGCUGUGGGAUAAUCAUACGCCAUCUAUUUCACAUCCUGGUUCCUUCUUUGAACAUCUAGCCUGUCUAGUUCUAUUCCCUGAGUAGCCAGUUACCAGAUCGACAUGAUCGACAUCCUCCUAAGGUGUCUGUAUUCAGGCUUGGCCAGCACACUAUGGUUUUUAAGCCCGCUCUUAACAUAUAACCCCAUGACAGGGAAAGAAUCACUCAUUUCCAUCGACUGGAAUAGGAUAACGCAUGAAAAGAUCUAUUUAAAGCUGCAUGUCAGGAGAGAAACUUUCAUUUGCUCAAAAGGUCCUUUCAUGUAGGCACAGUUUUUUCUUGAAGGUGGGGUGUUCUUUGAUGGUGAUGUUGGAAGACUCCGUGAGUGAGGUCAGUGGCUUUAAUAAUUAUGAAGGAUUUCAGCAUAAAUCAGUGGGCACUUUUCUAGGUAAAUCUGCCUCACUGAAACUGUCUCUAACCAAAUGAGCAAUUUAAAGGUCACUGUAAACGCUCACAUUAUUAAGCAACGGCAGUUGAAGUAAAACAUUCAGCUGCAGUGGAAGGCUGUGGGAGGGGAAACAAUGUUGUCUACGUACCGUUCCUCCACUUCUUCCAGAAGUUUCUUGGGCUUCCUUCUUUUUCAAUUGGGGUUUUAUUGUCUCACUUUGUUGGGAAAAAAAAAAUGGGGCCUUUUCUAUAUCAAUAAAUCCUUGGAAUUCAGGGUUUUAAGUUUCAUAAUUGGGGCUGUAGGGAACCUGCAAGGAAGAACACCAGGCUCCUUCAUUAUCUUAAUGGCUUCCCCGAGCUGCCGGGCACGGACCUCCUCAGAGCUUGGAGUCCCUCUGGGCCCUGUACAGGGUCUUUUUGAAGUUCAGGUGGACAGUGAGGAAGUGACGUCUAGAGUGUGCCCAAGGUGGGCGUGGGCUGCUCCCCUGAGCUCCCUAUGCGCACACUUACCAUUAUUUCCACUAAUAGAGCAGAGUAGCACAUUUACCAGGUAAACCGUGAAACCAUUGACUGUAUCUACCGAACAUGAGGGGACAUGCCGUUCAUGGCACACACGCUGAUGACUCUCGGCCAAUAGAGAGUAAGUGAUCUUUCAUUCAAACCCUCACUCCUGCUCAAGAGGCCUCUAGCACCGCACCUUCACUUCAUACUGCUGCUAUCUUGAUCUUUAGUUUCAGUAUUUCCCUGUUACUGUAUGGAGUGAUUCCGUGUGUGUGUGUGUGGUGUGCAUGUACGCUCAUGAGAAUGUAUGUCUGGGGGUAUGUGUGUGUGUGUGUGUGUGUGUGUAUGUAUCUCUUCAUAUUUCUCUUCUGCAUGUGUUCUCAUGGAUCUCCCAAACAACUCAACGUGACUUCCUCUCAAAUCUUCUUGUGUCCAGGUCUCAGUGUAGGACAUUGUCACCCACCAUCAUGCUUGCCUUCCUUUCCCAUUCACUCUUCAAAUCCCUUUCCUGACCACCUUAUCUGCUCCCCAAGGCGAUAUCACAUUGCCCAGUUCAUUUCCUUCAGAGCAUUUACCAUUUAUCUGAUUAAGUUAAUUUCUUGUUUAUUUAUUUUUUGUCUGCUUCUUUCCACUCAAAUAUCAGCCCAAGAAGGCAGGAGUCUUUUCUGUGUUAUUCUCUGCUAUAAACUGGAACAAUGCCUGGAACAUGGUAGCUACUCAAUAAAUGGUUUUAAAUAAAUGAAUCGAUCAAUAAUUAUCCCAUUGAGUCUGUCUUCGUAAUAUCUUGCAAAUCACAUUUUUAUCCCUCUGCCUUGGUGACUCCAGCUGGUAUCAGCAUCACGUCUCAUCUUGGUGGCCACAAGAGCAUCCUAGCUGCCUCCUCAUCUCACCCUCACCCUUCUCUAAAUCCUUCUCCACCUCGUAGCCUGGGGUCUUGCUAAACUGCAAGUGGGCUCCUCUCACUGGUCUGCUUAAAAUCAUUAAGUAGCUCUGGUCAUAAUGCACUUUGCAAAACUGUCUACAAGGGCAGAGGAGAGAGCAGGCCUUGAAGUUACCCAUCGCAACCACGCAUGUUUCAGGACUCUCCUGAUUUAUCUUAUAAAUGUCUGCAGAUUUUGCAUUCUACUCCUUUAAUAACAAAUAUUUUAAAUUACUCACCACUAAGCAGAACCAAUGGUUCAGGAAGACACUCCUUGUUUAUCCUGUGGUUUUGGGAUAUGGGCCACACCAGGAUAUUAAAGUCUUGAGAAACAAAGGCAGAUCAAGGUCAGGUAAAUUAACUUGGUGCACAAGGCCCUUCAAAAUCUGGCCUGAUUAUCUCUCCCUCCUCAUCUCUUGCCGUUCUCUCAUAUGCACCUCCCUUAGCCCAGCUGAUCUUAAUGCCACCCUCACGUCCAAGGCUAGGUUAGGCUCUUCUCUGCUCCCCUUCAGGGCCUUGUACACCUUCUGCCUAUACAUUAUCAGUCAUAAUUGUUUAUUUUUGUGUGUAUAGCACUAAGCUAUAAACCUUUAAGGAAAGGAGAUGUGGCACAGUGUCUGAUAUAUCUCAGGCACCCAGUAAGCAUUUACAGAAUGAACUGGUGAAUGAGUGAAUGGAUUACCAAUUGUUCUAAGCAAAUGCUCAUUUAAAGCUGCAAGGACCCUUAUAUCUGAGAAUAUGUGAUAUUCGAUUUCAGCAGCCUCCCCUCUCAUCUUUUACCCCUUCCUUCCCAAGACAGACAUGUGAGUAGGUAAGUCCAUUUAGGGUUGAUUUGAUUUCCUGAGGACUGAAAACUCUGUAUUGCCCAGGACCAGUGCACUGAUCCAAAUUUAGUAAGGCACAUGUAAAUUUCAAAGAUCUGUCCUCUCCCUUGGGAACCUGAAGGGAGUUUUGAAAGCACAAAGACUGCCUAACUUCAAGCAGCAACUGAAGAAAGCUUUUUGAUGACGUCGUUUUUCCUGAUCCAGAAGGCCCCUUGGAAUCAGAUGCAAUCUGGAAGGCUUCAGAGGGAAGCCGAACCCAUGUUUAAGAGGACACCUGGCCUGGCUGUUCCGUUGUCACAGAGAAUCAUAACUGGGCUACCCACCUAUCUCAUCUGUUUCUAAUAUUUACUAUAAAAAGUUGUCACGGGGAUUAUAAAGUCUGAUCAGCUGGGCUUUAUUUGAAUGAUCUGAUGAGCUAACUCUAGGGUUCAAUGUUUUUAAAAAAAGCAACACUUUGCCAGUGAAGUAUACCAGUGAGGUCCCUGUGCCUUUAAGACUCAGAAUUAUUUGGGCUAAAGCCAGAUACCAUCUGCAUUUCACUUUUUCAGUCCCGGGAGAUGCUCAGCGGAUACAAUCUUUCUACAGAGCGAAGUCUGAAUGGGGGCCGGAGGGAGAACGAGGAUGGACAGGACGUCCCAGAAAGCCAUCGGCGCCAGGGCCAUGCCUCGCACCUGACCUGCACAGCAGGUGGCCCAGAGCUCAAGUCAAGCAGCGGCCAGUCCCGAGUCCCGCCCUCUGAGAGGGCGCAGGCCCGGACAACGCUGGCUCAAAUACGUGAUAAACAUCGCUCGUCGACUAUACACUCAACAACCAAAAUAAGUCUCUGUAUGGACUGAAAUAGAAAUGCAAGUAUAUUGAGUGCUGAAAAUAAAGCAAGAUGUUUCUGUUGGAGUGGAUCAAUGGAAGGAAGAACUCUCCUUUAAAAGAUCUCUUGAACAUAGAUGGAGGAAUGAUGAGUCGUGUUUAAUUAUUUAAGUAUGGAAUUCACCCAAAGGGCACUUGAUGCUUCUGGUCUAUUGGGAGAUACUGGAUGUGAAAGACAGCAAAAUCCCGGAUCAACUUGACUUUAUAUCUGAGCCAAAAGUCAUUCAGAGUGAGGAACUGGAAAGGCCAGAUGAAGAAAAGUGUGUGGAAAGUAAACAAUGCAGUGAUCGGAGGCGUGUGUGCACUUUCCUUGGACUUUAGAUGGAAGAGGGUCAACAUGCCCUUUGUUUCCGUCUGUGUGAUUGACUCGCUCUGCGCCAUGCUUGCUAACUGAGACCUUCCUUCAGCUCUUCAGCUGAGCUGUGAGUGGCUUUGAGGGUUGGGAGGUCUCCCACUGAGGGGUCAGGGGUCGGGUCCUGUAUACUUUUUGAAGAGCAGGGGCAUUUGAGCAAAACAAAACUGGAGUUAAUCCCUGCUUUCCUAUUAGAAAAGUUGUGUUCUUUCUCUAUGCCUGUUUCCCCAUUUGUUAAAAAGUGAUAAUGGUAAUACAACUUAGUGAGGCUGUUGUGAAGAAUAAAUAAGAAAUUUGACAUAAAGAGCAAGCUGACAUUUACUAAGUUCUCAAUAAAUGUUGAUAAAUAUCUAAUUGAUCCACUACAACUCACAUAGGCUAGGAGUUUUUGUCUUUGCCUAAACAUUCUCGUGGCUUUUAUGCAAGCUUUUCUUUGUCCUGGUCUCCAAGUGGCAUGCUAACGGCAACUUUUACUGGCUCGCAAGAGCCGAUUAUUAAAUUUUUAGGAAUUUUGAGCUCUGGUUGUUAAAUACUGCCAAUAUUUAAAAAUAGAUGAAAAGAAACAUAUAAUUAAAUAAUUAUAUUUAAAACAAAGUUGAUAAAUACUCAAAACUCAUCACUUCCUAAUUAGUUCACUGGAUUUUACUAUUAUCUAUACUCUUGAGGUUAUGUCUAUUUUUAUCUGUGUGGUGAAAACAUGUGCCUCGCUUCCAAACUUGUGUUCAGUGACAUCCCUCUUGUGGCUUGAAAAGAGCCAAGUGGCUUGAAAACAGACAUCCCUCUAAGUGGCUUCUGUAGACCAUUGCUCCACAGAAAUACGCGAAUACUAAAUUCAAGACUUUUCCCAAAGAGCCAAUUAUUAAACACUUAUCAUAAUUUCGUGUUUAUUAAUUCUACACAUGGAAAAAUCGGAUUAAUUUUAUGUGAGAAUGUACAAAAAUUUAUUCUGAUAAGCUUUUUAUGCUGUGCAGGAGCCAACUCUAAAUGAGUCAAAUAAACUACAUAUUCUAGUGUAAUUCCUUCAUGAAUUAAAAAAGUGCAAACAACAAAAUUUCCAUUUUUAGUGAAAAUGAAAUUUCUGUAAAACAUGCCACUUAAUAAACUUCUAAAUGAAUGUGCAUUCAUCAAACAUUUUGAUUUUAACUGGCUAUUUUUGAAGUAUCUGAAAGUUUACCUAUUCUUGAUUUGGGGAAAUUGCUGAAAAUCAUAAAAUUAUUAUUUGUCUCCAAGUAUGUAGAGAUAUAGUUUUAAAUAAAAAUAUUAAUAUGUAACUG